GCUUAUUUAGUAUAGAAGUAUAUUUGGCUUCCAACCAAAAGGCCUGAAUUCCAGAUUAAGUA
rnacentral:tRNA from 1 species